rnacentral:rRNA from 1 species
UCGGGAAUUUUGGGCAAUGGGCGAAAGCCUGACCCAGCAACGCCGCGUGAAGGAUGAAGUAUUUCGGUAUGUAAACUUCGAAAGAAUAGGAAGAAUAAAUGACGGUACUAUUUAUAAGGUCCGGCUAACUACGUGCCAGCAGCCGCGGUAAUACGUAGGGACCAAGCGUUGUUCGGAUUUACUGGGCGUAAAGGGCGCGUAGGCGGCAAUUCAAGUCAUCUGUGAAAUCUCCGGGCUUAACUCGGAACGGUCAGAUGAUACUGCUUUGCUAGAGUGCAGAAGGGGCAAUCGGAAUUCUUGGUGUAGCGGUGAAAUGCGUAGAUAUCAAGAGGAACACCUGAGGUGAAGACGGGUUGCUGGGCUGACACUGACGCUGAGGCGCGAAAGCCAGGGGAGCAAACGGGAUUAGGAUACCCUCGUAGUCCCUGAGCGGGCUGGCAAGGCGCAU